CCUACGGGAGGCAGCAGUGGGGAAUUUUGCGCAAUGCUCGUAAGAGUGACGCAGCGACGCUGCGUGAAUGACGAAGGCCUUCGGGUCGUAAAGUUCUUUCGACAGGGAAGAAAAUGCCUAUAAGUAACUGUGUAUGUAUUGAGGUUACAGGUAUAAGAAGCCCCGGCAAACGCGGUGCCCGCAGCGGCGGUAAUACGGAGGGGGGGAGCGUUGUUCGGAGGGACUGGGCGAAAAGGGCACGUAGGCGGUGUUGUAAGUCAUUAGUAAAAGACUAGAGCUCAACUUUAGUAAGGCUAGUGAUACUAUAAUACUAGAGUAUCAGAGAGGAUUGCAGAAUUCCUGGUGUAGCGGUGAAAUGCGUAGAUAUCAGGAGGAAUACCGUUAGCGAAGGCGGCAAUCUGGCUGGAAACUGACGCUGAGGUGCGAAAGCGUGGGUAGCAAACAGGAUUAGAUACCCUGGUAGUC
rnacentral:rRNA from 1 species